GUGAACAAUUGCGGAUACAUUUUGGCGUAUACGUAACUCUUUUUUUCGUUAAUUUAGUUUAAGCAGUUUUAUUUUUUUUGUUAUUUUCGAAAAACAAACGAAAAUAUUGUAUAUCGUUGUUCUUUCUUUUUUUUUCAUACGUUCGCUAUAACGAAUAUUUCGAAACAAAAAGGAAACAAAAGAGAAAGAGUAUUUACCUGCGUUUGGUGAUCGGGGGCAGGAUGGCCCGUGUUGUCUAACAGUGUAGGGGAAGCAGGGCGAGCAUCUAUAGCAACGAAUAUAACAUAAAGACUUCACAUUUACCACAGCAGACCAUUACAAAAAAUUAUUCGAAAGAAGUAGUUGUAGUAGUCGAACGCAAGAGGUGGAAACCCAAACGUAAAUCAAAACCAAAUGAUCGAAAAAACAAAACCAAAACUUUAUAUCGAAAUAUAUGGAAAUUUAGUCGCGUUCAAUUUCGAUUUGGAGUUCGAUAAAGAGUUCGAGUAAGGACUGCUGAAGCUGCCUGAAUCUGUUCUGGGAUCUGUGAUUCAAUGUGGGUUGAAAAGACUAUUCAGGAUAUGCUUUUUUGGUUGGUCUCCUCAGCGUGGAUCUAACGAAAUAUAGCCCUGGAUAGCGCUUGAUAUUUCUGAAUAGUGGAUGGGGAUUCGAUUAAAGCAUUUGGUAUGCACUUUACAAGUUAUUUUUGGGUGUAUACGGACUCCCGAGGGCACCGCCUUCGGCUGGACACUCACCUGAUGACCCGGCUGACCGGGCUGCUGUCCCUGCUGUCCCAUCCCCUG